ACCUACGGGAGGCAGCAGUAAGGAAUCUUCCACAAUGGGCGAAAGCCUGAUGGAGCAACGCCGCGUGGGUGAAGAAGGUCUUCGGAUCGUAAAACCCUGUUGUUAGAGAAGAAAGUGCGUGAGAGUAACUGUUCACGUUUCGACGGUAUCUAACCAGAAAGCCACGGCUAACUACGCGCCAGCAGCCGCGGUAAUACGUAGGUGGCAAGCGUUAUCCGGAUUUAUUGGGCGUAAAGGGAACGCAGGCGGUCUUUUAAGUCUGAUGUGAAAGCCUUCGGCUUAACCGGAGUAGUGCAUUGGAAACU
rnacentral:rRNA from 1 species